UGCAGUCGAGCGAACAGACAAGGAGCUUGCUCCUUUGACGUUAGCGGCGGACGGGUGAGUAACACGUGGGUAACCUACCUAUAAGACUGGGAUAACUUCGGGAAACCGGAGCUAAUACCGGAUAAUAUUUCGAACCGCAUGGUUCGAUAGUGAAAGAUGGUUUUGCUAUCACUUAUAGAUGGACCCGCGCCGUAUUAGCUAGUUGGUAAGGUAACGGCUUACCAAGGCGACGAUACGUAGCCGACCUGAGAGGGUGAUCGGCCACACUGGAACUGAGACACGGUCCAGACUCCUACGGGAGGCAGCAGUAGGGAAUCUUCCGCAAUGGGCGAAAGCCUGACGGAGCAACGCCGCGUGAGUGAUGAAGGUCUUCGGAUCGUAAAACUCUGUUAUUAGGGAAGAACAUACGUGUAAGUAACUAUGCACGUCUUGACGGUACCUAAUCAGAAAGCCACGGCUAACUACGUGCCAGCAGCCGCGGUAAUACGUAGGUGGCAAGCGUUAUCCGGAAUUAUUGGGCGUAAAGCGCGCGUAGGCGGUUUUUUAAGUCUGAUGUGAAAGCCCACGGCUCAACCGUGGAGGGUCAUUGGAAACUGGAAAACUUGAGUGCAGAAGAGGAAAGUGGAAUUCCAUGUGUAGCGGUGAAAUGCGCAGAGAUAUGGAGGAACACCAGUGGCGAAGGCGACUUUCUGGUCUGUAACUGACGCUGAUGUGCGAAAGCGUGGGGAUCAAACAGGAUUAGAUACCCUGGUAGUCCACGCCGUAAACGAUGAGUGCUAAGUGUUAGGGGUUUCCGCCCCUUAGUGCUGCAGCUAACGCAUUAAGCACUCCGCCUGGGGAGUACGACCGCAAGGUUGAAACUCAAAGGAAUUGACGGGGACCCGCACAAGCGGUGGAG
rnacentral:rRNA from 1 species